rnacentral:lncRNA from 1 species
CUGCUGGAGGAGCAGAGGAGCAUCCCGAGGUGCCGGCCCGCCGGCCCCAGGAUGUGAGAGCUCAGGUACGACUCCAGCGCCCAACCUUCAAAAAAGUCUAACCAGCAAAGAGCCCCACAUCUCUGAUGCAAAUACGCUCCCCCGACCCCGAAUUUGAAGGCUGUGGAAACAGAGGCCUCUGGCACCCUCUG